CUCUCUCUCUCUCUCUCCAUUGCUCCCUCCUCCCUCAGAUCCACUCCAUUGCAGCCUCAAUCAAGAAAAAUGAGCAGCAAAACGGAUCAAGAAGGAAGAGAGGAUCAAGGAGAUGUGCAAAAUCGGUGUUCCCCCUCACUUUCCCCUUGCGGAUUCUCAUGGGGAAACCAUAGGUGAUGUUGUUACGAGGCAUCUAUGCCAUGUCUACAUAGUCGAUAAAGGCAAGUGAACAUAGUUAUUGCUUGCUACAACUUUAACAUAACAUUCUAUUUUUACUGCCUCCACUUAUAAAAUGCAGCACACAUACUUAUAUGUGAUAAUGGAAAAAAUUUCUACAUGACUUAUGAUUAAUGGGCAAAUUAUGAAUAUGAUAUUGCUAAUAUAGGUAUGCAGUGGGUACAUUGUUUUUACUUCAACAUGGGUGGAUAGGUAAAUGAAAUAUUCUCUGGAUGAUGGAUUCUGAAUUUAUAGUGGGCCUGGAUGUAUAUGUAUUUUAGCAAGUAAUCCUAUGGAAUAUGUUACUGUGAGUAAUGUUUGUGGAAGUCUUAGUGGUUCAAUAGAUGAUGAGUUUGUUAUAGGAUAGGUAUGCUAGUCUUGGUGUUUGAAACCAUCUAUGGUGUUUACGCUACUUAGUAUCUCCUAGUGCAAUAGUGUGUGGAUGAAUUAGAGUUUGGGGUAUGAGUAUGGUCUGAAGUAGUUUCCUACCAUUCUUUGAUAUAUGUGAUCAAAUAUAAGAAUUGAAUCUCGCUCGCCUCUAUGUUUAAAUUAAUAAUGGCUAUAUUCUAUCCCAUCCUAUUUUUGGUUAAGAUCGAGGACAUCUAUAGCUAUGAUGGAGGCACUGCAGCAGCUUCAUACCUUGUUGGGUAUGAAGGCAUGAGUUCAUAUGCAUCCAUAUGCAUAUAUCAUCUUUGGUUUGGCAUUGCAAUGGAGCUUCAUACCUUAAUGGGUAUGAAGGCAGGAGUGCGUGUGCAUUGGUACGCAUUCUUGGAUGGCUGAGUAUUAAAUGUAGUGGAGUUAUUAUGAUGUUAUAUAUAUUAUGCCCUUAUGCUAAUAUGCAUUUUGAUAAGGCUUAUGGGACUUUUGAUAUACCAUAUACGUGCCUCUUGCAUUCACAUGCUUUAACGGAAGGAUAUUUGGAUAUUAGUUGAUAUAGUUGGAAUAGAACUAAUAUGAUAAUGAUGCUAUUGCAUGGUGACGAGAAUUCUGGUAUGGCUUGCAGGAUUGUGGAGAUAUUAUAAGUUGUUGCCAUGCAUUACUUUGCACCUUUUUUGGAUUGCAAUUAUUAUAUCUUUUCUUAUAUUAUAUGAUAUGAUCUGCACAUUGCUACCUUUAAUUCUAUUUGUUAUGGUGACCUAUAUGUUUUAUUUUUUUAAUGAUUGCUUACCAUCAUCCUAUUUGGGUCAUACUUUAUUGAUUGUUUGUAGAUCAAUAGUAAAAUGUUAUUGCUUUAUCCUUACCAUGCCCUUGGUAUAGCUACUGGAUGGUGGAGCCAUAUUUUGAUACUUUCUACUUUGCCAAAUGGUUAAUUAAUCUUUUGCGGAUUAAAUAGCUUGUUAAAGCGGUUCACUUGCUGAGAUUAUUCAAUCUCACCCUUGUAUAUCCCUCCCCAAGUUAUAGCAUGAAGGGAAGUGGGUUAGUUGCACGGCAUACACUUCUACAGGAUCCCUUAAUGGUGGUGUACAACUUUGAGUUUGAUAGAUCUUAUAGUGCUCCUUCUCAUAAUCGUUAAGGAUAACUUUGAGUUUGAUAGAUCUUAUAGUGCUUCUUGUCAUAAUCGUUAAGGAUGUAGAGUUGUCUUGUUGGAGUAUCACACUUUUCUUAUACAUCUAUCUUUUGUUGCUUCCGCGUCGUGCUUGUUUAUAGGUAUACGGUGAUAAAUUUAAAUUUUCAGCAUUUGAUAGUAUAGUUGUGUAACAUCUCAGGGUUGCAUGAUACCUGGGGUGUUACAGAUAAACCCGCGAGUAAGAGAACAGAUCUCACUCAAGAAAUGCAAUAUAGAAAUCAUAAAUACUAACACUAGUAGAAAUAGUAGCAUCCAUGAUAUUUUUGUGCAUGACGUUUUGAAUAUCGUCAUUGAACAUAUCCCAUCUAUGAAGAAAAUUGCAGGAUCGUCAUAGGUCCUCGUCUACAUCCCUCGAAUAGUGCUCAACCGUGACGAAAGUAAAAACGCGUCAUGUGAAAAUAGGAAUUUCGUCAUUGUUCAUCGCCGAAACCUUCAGCCUCUACGGAACUAUGACGAAAAUACAACGCGCGUCACAGAACAACAUUUCAUAUUGUCAUAAAAAAAGGAGCGCCAAUUAACUCCUCAUCCCUACGAUCAGCGCGAUUCGUCAUAGAACCAGACCGGCUGCCACGUUGCUGGCUGACUGGUCCAGUUUGUGUAGCUGGCAGCCACGUGUAGGAGUGCAGGGCAGCAGGCCGAUGUGGUUUACACGUGUAACCGGGGUCCAGCUCGAUCCGGCUCAGGGAGAGAAAUAGACCCACAUUGAAAACAUGUGUGGUGAACAUGGGCCACGGGUUCGUGCUAGACAUUUGCCACUUCCCGGACGACGGUUCAAUUUCUCGUGCGCCUCCCCUGAACUUGCCGGCGACUGCGUCCCUUCUCCGUCAAUUUCACCGCGGUUAUAAAUACAAAUCCUGAGAAAAUCGGGAAAAUCAAUCUAUACCUUCUCAUCUACUCUAGUCUCUAUCAUCCUCCAGUCUCUCAAUCUCCAUGGCCACUCAAUCUCAAUCUCCCAUGGGUAGGAAGAACAAGCGCCCAGCAGAUGGAGCUCCAGAAGGCAAUCUGCCGCUCCGUGCCCGCCUUCUCCGGCAAGGGACCAUCUGUAUGGCCGGCUUGGCCUGCAAGGGUGCUCGCGGCGCCAAAUCCACAGCCGCAGCAAGUUCCUCUGGCAGCUCCGGCAACUCCUACAACGGAGACGACGCUCGGCGCUACCUCCGUUGGUGGAAGGGGACACGCGACCUCUACUCUGAGGCAACUCGUGAGAUUGUGCAUCUCCAGCUCUGCUUGGAGGUCACCCAGGCUGCCCUGACCGCUGCCGAGGGUGAGGCCUCCACCGCUCGGGCGUUGCUAUCCGCUGCCGAUGGCAGAUUUGCAGCCCUGGAGGCGCAAAUUUAGGCCCUCCACCAAGCGGCAAAUGGUGCCGCCACCACGGUGAACGCCAGAGGCGACCUGCUGGUGGACCGCCUGCAAGAUAUCCCCAACCGCGCCAGGCAGAUCGCCACCCACGGUGUCCGGCAGGGGGCUGCAACUGCUCUGGUUGUGGCGCAAACCUGUACUGGGCACAAUCUUCUCCUUUUGGAGCCUGUAUUCCCGAAAGGAGAAAGGCGAGCAGGCUUCGAUGAUCUCGUUGUGCAAUUUGAUGUAACCGCUAACGCAAUCGCCAAUGAAGUCAGCGCCGAUAGUGUUGUAACCAUGUUCUUCCUUGGUGAAGAUUAGAUUGUAUCUGAAACAUAAUGAAUGAACAAUCCAAUCUUUUGAUGAUUUCA